GUCCUCAGUGUAAUGGCCCAAAAGUAUGC
rnacentral:sRNA from 1 species